rnacentral:tRNA from 1 species
CCCGCGGUCGCCGGGGCGGACCGGACCCCGGCCGGCGCCCGGGGCUGACCCGGUCGGGUCCGGGGCCCGGCCGACGGA